AACGAACGCUGGCGGCAGGCCUAACACAUGCAAGUCGAGCGCCCUUUCGGGGGAGCGGCGGACGGGUGAGUAACGCGUGGGAAUAUGCCCUUCUCUACGGAAUAGCCUCGGGAAACUGAGAGUAAUACCGUAUACGCCCUUUGGGGGAAAGAGUUAUCGGGGAAGGAUUAGCCCGCUUUGGAUUAGGUGGUUGGUGGGGUAAUGGCCUACCUAGCCGACGAUCCAUAGCUGGUUUGAGAGGAUGAUAAGCCAAACGGGGACUGAGACACGGCCCAGACUCCUACGGGAGGCAGCAGUGGGGAAUAUUAGACAAUGGGGGCAAACCUGAUCUAGCCAUGCCGGGUGAGUGAUGAAGGCCUUAGGGUUGUAAAGCUCUUUCAGCUGGGAAGAUAAUGACGGUACCAGCAGAAGAAGCCCCGGCUAACUCCGUG
rnacentral:rRNA from 1 species